rnacentral:rRNA from 1 species
GAUGAACGCUGGCGGCGUGCCUAAUACAUGCAAGUCGAGCGGACGGACGAUAAGAUUGCUUCUUUGCUGUUAGCGGCUGACGGGUGAGUAACGCGUGGAUCACCUACUUAUAUUUCUGGGAUAAUUACGGGACACAGGUGAUAAUACUAGAGCAUACUUUGUACCGCUGGGUUCAAAAGAGAAUGGCAGUCUUGCUGUCUCAUAUAGCUGGUUCCGCGCUGGAUUAGCUAGUUGGUAAGGUAACGGCUUACCAAGGAGACGAUGCGUAGCCGACCUGAGAGGAUGAUCGGCCACACUGGAACUGAGACACGGUCCAGACUCCUACGGGAGGCAGCAGUAGGGAAUCUUCGGCAAUGGGCGAAAGCCUGACGCAGCAACGCCGCGUGAGUGAUGAAGGCCUUCGGGUCGUAAAACCCUGUUAUUGGGAAAGAACAGAUGUGGAAUUAAACGUAGACGUCUUGACGGUACCGAAUCAAAAAGCCACGGCUAACUACGUG